GAUGAACGCUGGCGGCGUGCCUAAUACAUGCAAGUCGAGCGAAUGGAUUAAGAGCUUGCUCUUAUGAAGUUAGCGGCGGACGGGUGAGUAACACGUGAGUAACCUGCCCAUAAGACUGGGAUAACUCCGGGAAACCGGGGCUAAUACCGGAUAACAUUUUGAACCGCAUGGUUCGAAAUUGAAAGGCGGCUUCGGCUGUCACUUAUGGAGGGACCCGCGUCGCAUUAGAUAGUUGGUGAGGUAACGGCUCACCAAGGCAACGAUGCGUAGCCGACCUGAGAGGGUGAUCGGCCACACUGGGACUGAGACACGGCCCAGACUCCUACGGGAGGCAGCAGUAGGGAAUCUUCCGCAAUGGACGAAAGUCUGACGGAGCAACGCCGCGUGAGUGAUGAAGGCUUUCGGGUCGUAAAACUCUGUUGUUAGGGAAGAACAAGUGCUAGUUGAAUAAGCUGGCACCUUGACGGUACCUAACCAGAAAGCCACGGCUAACUACGUGCCAGCCGCCGCCGUAA
rnacentral:rRNA from 1 species